rnacentral:lncRNA from 1 species
UUUCCUGAAAUUUUAUACCUACUAGUGAAAUAACCCGCGCUUCGCAGCAGAUAGAUAUUAAAAAAAUAUAUAAAAUUUUAUAUUCAACAUAAAUUCACAAUAUUUAUUUUAAUGUAAAUAUAAUAUUCUCAGAUAAAUAAUUAAGUAGAAAUAACAAUAAGGAUGUUAAAAAAAAUAAUCAAUUCUUAAUAAAUAAUAUCUAAGGGUAACCAUGAAAAUAGUUUUAUUUGAAAACAAAAAUCGGUGGCAAAAAAGUUUUACAUUUUUUAGUAUUCGGUUUGUAAGAAAAAAAAUAGUUUUCGAUCAAUAUCUGUUUGGUUGAAAGAAAAAAUUUAACAUUUAUUUUGGUUGGUGGAAAAAAAAAAUGAAUGAAAAAGUUUUAUGUGAUUUGAGUUUUCAUUUUCUGCUGAAAUUAGCCAUAAACAAAAAAUACUCUAUUUUUCUUCAUAAUUUUUCAAGUAAGAGAUCUCUUCUAAAAUAUGAAAGAGACCUCAUAAGGUAUGUGUGUGUAAGAGAGAGAGAGGGAGAGAAGGUAGAGUACGGAUAAUAAUUAAAGAAAGAGAGAGGGGGUAGAUUAUAGAUAAUAAUUUAGAAGAGAGAUAAAGAGAGAGAGAGAGAGGAGGCAAGAGAGAGAAGGAGAGAGAUAAUUGAGAGAGAGUGAGGGUGGAGAGAGAUUGAGAGAUAAUAGAAAGAGAAAGAAAGGGUGGGCCACCUAGAGGGGGAGAGAGAAUCUUCCUGAGAGGAAAGAGAAGGGAAGAGAGAGAGAGAGGAGAGAGGGGGAAGAGGGGAGCAUGACACGUGGCAAGGGUAAUGGAGAGAACGUCACGGUAAAUUAUAGUUUGGAGUCCCGCUACUAUACUAUCGGUAGCACGGAACGCUCCGUGCUACCAAGUUGUUUUUGAUGAUGCGGCUUCCAAAUCGAUGAUCGGUUCCGUUAGAGACUUGAUCCACACUAUUGAAAGUAUUUGGAAACUGAAUUUCAGACUUUUUCGAUAUCAUUUGACUAGUGAUCAAAAGAUCUCAAAAUUGAUAAUUUUAAUAGCCGAUGUGGUGUGUUUGAGAGUUUAACGGUAUAAAACAAUCCAAAUCCGAUGAAAAUUUUAUAGAAAAUUCUUUUAACUAUUUAGAGUAAGAUCAAUAUAUUUGAUCUUGAAUUUAAAUCUUUUAUCAUCAUUUUUUAUGAGAUUUUUAUUUUCAGCCGUUCAAUUUUAGACUACUUGUUUGAUAGGUAAAUGAUAUCGAAAAAUUAUAAAAUUUAGUUUCUAAAUACUUUUAAUAGUGUAGAUCAAGUCUAACGGAGCCGAUCGUCGAUUCGAAAGCUCGAACAUCGAAAACAACUUGGUAGCACGGAGCGCUCCGUGCUACCGAUAGUAUAGUAGCCUAGUUCUUAUAGUUUGUAUAGAUUUUAUGUUUGGGCAUAGUUUAUAGAAAAAAUGUUAGAGUUUU